AUGUGUAUGUGUGUGUGUGAGUGUUCUAGUUAGGACAGCUGGGCCCAGUUCAUCACUGGAUGGGUGUAACCCAAAACUGUGUAUUCUAUAGC